CACUUGUUUUGCAUAUGCAUAAGCCUGUCGGCCAAUGGCGUCCCUGCUCUGGCUGCCAGAGAAGCUGGGCGGUUGGGCAGCGGACACGUGGUGCGCCUGCGCACAGCGCUGCCCCACGUCGGGCUGGCUCCGUUUUGCCCCGCCAGGUGCAGAGCCGGAGAGCGACCGGAGUCCCCUGAUCCUAGGUCCCGAGUUUGGGGUCCGGGGCGGGCGGGAAGGCGGGAGCGCGAGCGGGACAGCGGCUGCCUAGUGUCCGGUUUGCAGGGCAGGGUUAAGGAGUACUGAGGCCGUGCAGUUUGACAGAAGACCUUUUUUGAAUCUUGCGAUCUGUAUUGAUUCCAGUGGAUUAAAAGGCAUCCCAAGGGAGAGACCUUGGGGACCAAGGAAGAAGCCUAGGGGUUCAUUACCAAGAAUCCCCCCUGGCCCGACUCCCGGGUGACGUCUCGUGCGGAAUAUGUUACAGGUUCCCGGUGUCAGAGCGACUGGAGGGGUCCCUCAAACAAAAUCACUGUGAUCACUGGGCAGCUGAAAAGGCCCCCCUCUCCCCGACGCAUGCUAGACUGCAAAAUGGGUGUCUGCACAUGGACCAAAACACUGCGCUGCGCCUUGCCAUGAAGGCCGUGCCAUUUUUCACCCAUGGCAAACACCAGAAGAGCUUUAUAAGGGGAAAUUAUCCAAUUUUGUAAUUUUAGUAGUCAGUAGGGGACACUGAUGAAAAAAUAGUAAAGAGCGAAAUCCAUCACAGUGUAAGCAACAUUCCAGCAUAUGUAGACUUUUACAGCGAACUUCUCUAGGAAGCCAUCCCCAGUGGGGCUUUGAUUCAAUCGAGUGCUGGUUUCGGCCCACCCUGAGCCUAAGUCUUGCAGCCAGAAGCGGCUAGACCAGGGAUGUGGAGGGGAUCACAUUAGACCAAUGAGGAGGAAACUUCACGUGAGAGUCUUUAAGAUUAGCAGCCAUCCUGGGGACUUAGGUGGCUGUCCUAACUCCCAAAAGACAACUCUAUAUAAGAAUAGGAAUAAAGAGGGGCACCUGGGUGGGUCAGUUGGUUAAGCGUCUGACCCUUGGUUUUGGCCAAGGUCAUGAUCUCACAGUUUGUGAGUUUGAACCCCGAUUUCUCUCUCCCUCUCUACCCCUCCUGUCUCUCUCUUGCUCUCUUUCUCACUCACAAGAUAAACAUUAAAAAUAAAAAAAAAAAAAUAGGAAUAAAGAGAGGGCAUCGAGUUUCUGGGUCUUCUUACCAUUCCGGCCAGGGGACUAACUUCCAGCUUCCUCCUCCCUGUAGAGCAGCCAUUGGCUAGAGGAUUGCAGCCUGAGCAAUUGACACGAAAGUGUCCCAAUAAGAAGGAGUGAAUGACUACAUACUUUUUAAUUACUGAGGGUUAUGGACAGUGCAGUCUCUAAGGAAUUUGGAAGCAAGGCUUUCAGGACCUUGAGGGGCUAGCUGCUGUUAAGAUAAGGUUACUUUUAGCCUGUAAUAAGACAUAAAUAUUAAGGCACUAAUGCAGCCAUGAAUUCCUCGAGGAAGGUCACCUUUGGCAUGUUUCAGGUGUCUGUCAGUGGGCAGCAAGCUGUAAGGAGAUUUUAAUUUAAGCCACAUUUCUCUUGCCUUUGUUUCCCUCAUCAGCAUAGGGUUAGUUUUUCUUGGUAGUUGUCUUAUUCAUUUAAAAUAUAAUUGUUUUUCAUUAUUUGAGUUUCAAUUCUAUUUUACAGGUUUGCACCGGACCCUGUUGAUUAGAUCCUUUGUUAGCCUUAAAAAAUUACACUGCCAGUUACUUUACCAGCAAAAAAAUGGUUUUAUUUGGGAAUAGCAGAGAAUUGCAAUCCAGCAUGCAAUUGCAGACAGCAAGGCAGAGGAAAGCCGGGCAGAGGUUCCUUCAUAGAGCGCAGAGGGAGCUGGGAUAGGCUGUUAACUUCACUGGAAUAAGAGCUUGAAGUGUAGUGGCUUCUCAUUGGCUGGCCUGUGACAGUCUCUCAUUGGCUGAGCUGUGAGAGGCUCUCAUUGGUUAGCUUGUGACUGUUUCUCAUUGGCUGGGCUGCUAGCAUAUGACUGUUUCUCAUUGGCUGGGCUGUGACUGUUUCUCACUGGCUGAGCUGUGAGAGGCUCUCAUCGGCUGGACUGUUGCUGGGUAGUAGGAAGCUUUCCUUCCUCCCACCGAGGCAGUGAAGAGUAGCAUCCUCCUGCAAGGCCGGCCUUCUCCUGCGGGGUGCUGCCCGGGUCAAGGAGAGUUCUAGGAUGUGACCACCAGGGCACUUGUCCACUGUCCGCCACACCUGGACCUGGAGUUCUGAAAGAUGCGUGAAGACUGCCUGCGUGCCUGGUAAGACCUCCUGAUCAGGGUCCGGGAUGCCCACCGAGACCCGGACUGCUCUCCUGCCUCCUGGCCCCUGGGCAGGGGGAGCCCCGUGGGUCACAGUGCCGGGUUCGGCAAGAAGCCCUCCCUUGGGCACCAGGACCCCUGCCCUCAGAACCCAGAGCUGCCUGAGGAGAGCACACUGACCGAGGACAUGGGGUUCAGUGUCCCUCCCCCACCCCCAGCACUGGAAACCAGCCCGCAUGGGGCUCCUUGUGCCCUGGAGGGAAGCAUGGGGCCGGUGAAGAGCUACCCAGGAAGUGAGCCAAGGGUGCGGUGAGCCGUAGGGGAGGCUGCUGACCUAGGGGCCCGGAGGUCCACGGAAGAGAGCCGUCAGGGGAAGGGAAGGGCUCGGGACCCCGCCAGGGACUGAGAGAGCAGGGGGGCAUGGACCCUGGUUCCCCAAGGUUGAGGUGCAGCUCCAACAUCAGGGCUCCUUCAAGGAGAUGCCUGCCUGUCCCCACCCCCCACCCCCAGUUCACCUGCAGAGAAAGGACCCACCAGGCCAGCAAGGCCCCAGCCUCCUGCCGGCCAGAGGGAAGGGUGCUGGUGGCAGAAAACAGCUCCUCCCGAUGGACGCAGGGUUGCUGGCCUGAGUGGCCCUGCUCCGCUCCCUCGAGACCCUGGGCGGAGGCAGGAGCCGAGGGGAUAGAGGUGGAGGCAGAGACAGACGCAGGGGUGAAGUGGUCACGGGGGUGGGGUUUGCAGAGGGGGAGCAGGCUCAGGCCUUCGGUGGGCAGCCACUGAGGACUCAGGGCCGUGUGCGCUGCAGGAGAAGGGAGGGACGGGGAGGGGCUUGCGAGGGCUGGGAGGUGGGCCCGGCAGCCAGGACCUGGUGAUGCUGUGUGUUGAGUCCCUCUGAGCAGGGACCAGCCUGUCCUAACCUGUCCCAUGGCUUCCCUCUGGAAACCUCUAACUCGUUCAACCCCCAGACUGGCAAAGGGGGGGCCACUCUCAGCACAAAAUAAACACAGCAGUUAAAGAGCCCGUGAA